rnacentral:rRNA from 1 species
CCUACGGGUGGCAGCAGUGAGGAAUAUUGGUCAAUGGGCGGAAGCCUGAACCAGCCAAGCAGCGUGCAGGAUGACGGCCCUACGGGUUGUAAACUGCUUUUAUACGGGAAUAACGCGCCUUACGUGUAGGGCUUUGCAUGUACCGUAUGAAUAAGGUCCGGCUAAUUCCGGUCCAGCAGCCGCGGUAAUACGGAGGGUCCGGGCGUUAUCCGGAUUUAUGGGGUUUAAGGGGCGCGUAGGCCGCAUGUCAAGCGUGCUGUGAAAUGUCCGGGCUCAACCCGGGCCUUGCAGCGCGAACUGGCGUGCUUGAGUCCGCGGAAGGCAGGCGGAAUUCGUCGUGUAGCGGUGAAAUGCUUAGAUAUGACGAAGAACCCCGAUUGCGAAGGCAGCUUGCUGCAGCGGAACUGACGCUGAUGCUCGAAAGCGCGGGUAUCGAACAGGAUUAGAUACCCCUGUAGUC